UACGGGGGGGAGCAAGCGUUGUUCGGAUUUACUGGGCGUAAAGGGCGCGUAGGCGGUCAGCACAAGUCAGUUGUGAAAUCUCCGAGCUUAACUCGGAACGGUCAACUGAUACUGUGCGACUAGAGUGCGGAAGGGGCAACUGGAAUUCUCGGUGUAGCGGUGAAAUGCGUAGAUAUCGAGAGGAACACCUGCGGCGAAGGCGGGUUGCUGGGCCGACACUGACGCUGAUGCGCGAAAAGCGUGGGGAGCGAACAGG
rnacentral:rRNA from 1 species